ACAUGAACAAUGUUUUUUUUUAAUAGUGCUGUCACUGGAUUUUUUGCACAUGUUCACUUGCAUAUCUGUGGACAUUUGCAUGAGAGACUUUAAAAAAGACUCGUAGCAAUUUUCUGUAGUUAAAGUUCAAAGAAGCAGGGCAGGAAGAAACUUUGCCUACAAACUAACCCAAUCACAACUGAUCUAAAUACACACUCUCACUCCAACAUGUCCGUCCAGAUCAAACCACAUUUCUAAAGAAAACUGACCGCAGCAGGUUUCAGUUUGACUCAGAUGAUGAACAUCAAUAAAAUUAGCACGGUGAGAUCAGAGACGGUUUUAACUUUGUACUUAGUUUUUUUUUUUUUUUUUUUUUUUUUUUUUUUUAAACACUUAAAUUAAGAAAAUGAAUAAAUAUACACAAUUUUCAAAUCAAAACAGUUUAUUUACAUAUGUGACCAUGAAGGAAUCCAGAAGUAAUCAGAUUAUAUUACUUUCAUAUUGUGGUGCUUGGAUUACAUUACUGGAUACUUUUUUAAUGUAAUUUGUAACUGUGCAAAUGCAACGAGUGAAAUAAGAGGGUCAAACUCUGUCGUGGGAGGAUUCACACCAGCUUGAAUGUUUUCAGCAGAUAGUUUUUUUUUUUUAGUAUCAGACUCUGAACAACUAAAGAAAAUGUUUCUCAUGAUUGUUUUGUUCUGUUUGUACUGGUGGAGACUGACUGGUGUGUUUGGUGCUGAAACAAUUGAAAUACAGUCAGUGUCAGUGACGGAGGGAGAUUCUGUCACUUUAUACAUUGAUAUUACUGAAAUACAGAAAGACGAAAGUAUACUGUGGAAAUAUGGAGCUGAAAAGUGCAUUAUAGCUGAAAUCAAUAAAAAGUAUGUAUUGUUCUUCACAUAUAACGGUACUAAUGGGCAAUUCAAAGACAGACUCAAACAUCGCAACUGAACAUGCUGGAGUUUAUCAAAUAGAGAUAACUAGAGUGAGAACAAAAGCAUUCAAUGUUUCUGUCUAUGGUGAGUAAAGAUCAUUUGUCCUAUCUUUCAACAUAUUCUUGUUUUAUUUUAUUAGAACUAUUUACAUUUAAGAUUUUGGUAAAGAUGUCAAACACACUCACUACUGUCAUUAUCUAACAUACUCCACUGUAGGCAAGCUUGAUGAACCCAUGUGCAUUUAUUGACAUUUAUUUAUUAAAUAAAUAAAUAAAAAUACAAACGUAGAUGUAAAAAACUAAACUUAAAACAUGACUUGACUUGAAAAUAUACAUAAACAUAGACUUAAGCAUAAAUAUGAGCAUUGACAUGAACUUGACCUAGACUUGUACUCAUCAAACAGUAAGUUACUUCAUCAAAACUUAGAUGAGACAAAUGAGGGCUAUAGAGAGAGAGAGAGAGAGAGAGAGAGAGAGAGACUAAUGACUAAAAAGGAACACCAGUGAACAAUCAAACAAUGAACCAAUCAGAACAUAACACAUGACUAACACGACCAAUCAGAACAUGACACAUACACGGGGGAGCACAUGGCAGACUAACAUGAGGAACAAAGGUAAUACAUGACAAGAAACAUGAAACAAAUUACAAAAAUAAAUGAGAACAUAAAUGGGAACUAAAACUCAAACCAAUGUGACACAUUAGUACAGAGUAUUACUUUACAAUUAAUUACAAUACUCAUCCUUUGACUGCGAAAUAAAUGCAUGCUGGAUCAUUUUCUUACAAAUGACUGUGAAUCAAUAGCAGAAUGAUGCUAACAUCACAGUCAUUCGCUGUGAAUUCACAUUAUAAAGUUGUCUUUAACUAUGAAACUGUUAUGUAAUUGUUUAUAACAGUAAUUAUUCAUAAGUCAUCAUAAUGGUGAUUAGUGUUACUCUGCAGGAGUGAAUCACUGAAGCAUAAGUAACAGUGUUUACUGCACAUUGUGUUUUUGCAGCAGCAAGUUGUCUAUUAUGUCAUUGCCAUUUUAAACUUUGUCUAGCAUGGAUAUGAAAAUUGUUAAAUGGAUAUAAGCACUUGUGCUUUAAAUGGGGUUCAUCAUAUUUAGCAGUAAGUCUAAUGAAGUGUUCAUUUAUUUCCA
rnacentral:lncRNA from 1 species